rnacentral:misc_RNA from 1 species
AACCUAGCACACCUGCGGUGUGUACCUGCGGAAGGAUCAUUAACCUUUCAAAUCAGGGUGCGGCGCGGCCCCCGAGGGGCGGAAACAAUCCUUGGGAGGUAUGCGGGGGCUUCGAGCCCCCCAUUUACGCACGCACGACUGCCAUCCUUACUUUACGAGCACCUUCUGUUCUCCCUCGGCGGGGCAACCUGCCGUUGGAACCGAAUAAACUCUUUUUGCAUCUAGCAUUACCUGUUCCGA